CCUACGGGAGGCAGCAGUGAGGAAUAUUGGUCAAUGGGCGUGAGCCUGAACCAGCCAAGUCGCGUGAGGGAAGAAGGCCCUGAGUAUUGUAAACUUCUUUUGCCAGGGGAUAAUGGCGGCCACGGGUGGUCGUUAGAGGGUACCUGGUGAAAAAGCAUCGGCUAAUUCCGUGCCAGCAGCCGCGGUAAUACGGAGGAUGCGAGCGUUAUCCGGAUUUAUUGGGUUUAAAGGGAGCGUAGAUGGGUUGUUAAGUGUGUUGUGAAAGUUUGCGGCUCAACCGUAAAAUUGCAGUUGGGACUGGCUGUCUUGAGUACAGGUAAGGUAAGCGGAAUUCGUGGUGUAGCGGUGAAAUGCUUAGAUAUCACGAAGAACCCCGAUUGCGAAGGCAGCUUACGAAACUGUGACUGACGUUGAUGCUCGAAGGUGUGGGUAUCGAACAGGAUUAGAUACCCGGGUAGUC
rnacentral:rRNA from 1 species